rnacentral:misc_RNA from 1 species
GAAAUGCGAUAAGUAGUGUGAAUUGCAGAAUUCAGUGAAUCAUCGAAUCUUUGAACGCACAUUGCGCCCUUUGGUAUUCCUUAGGGCAUGCCUGUUCGAGCGUCAUCUAAACCUUCAAGCCCUGCUUGGUGUUGGGUGCCUGUCCCGCCUCCGCGCGCGGACUCACCUCAAAUCCAUUGGCGGCCCCCGCGUCGGCCACGAGCGCAGCAGAAACGCGAACUCGUGAGCCCGUCCGGGCGGCUCCCAGAAGCUACACCCACCCAGUUUGACCUCGGAUCAGGUAGGGAUUCCCGCUGAACUUAAGC